UGAUGAAAAUGAGGUAAAUGAUGUAAAAUUUGCAAUGGUUAAUAGUCGGGAGACAUUUUCUCCUUAUCAAAAGUGAUACUUGAAAGGCCACUUUGUUCUCUUUGGACACUAUUUUAUGCGUGUACAGGAACCAUUUGAAAAUGUUUGAAAAAACCAUGUGCCAAUAUUAUGAUUAUAGUUUAGAAAUAUUCACUCUCUCCGGUGACUUAGACUGCACCAUGGCCAUAUAGACAGCCUUUUCUAGGCGUGAAAAGUUCUCAGUUAAUGUGAAAAGUUCUACGGGAAAACAAGGAUGUUAUUGUUUAUGCAUGCGAUUGUAGUGAUGAGACUCUUGAUAGAGCUAAGGAAAUUAUAAAUGCGAAUGGAGCUGAAUCCUUUAAGCAUCGUUUUCGUACUUUUUGUUGUGAUGUUUCCACUAAUGGAUUCCCAAAUUGGCUGGCAUGUAACCCCUGUAGAGAGAAUUAUUUACAAAACCAGUCAGAUGUAAAAGAGGAUAAUGGACUGAAUGUUAAGGAGUUGUGUUCAUCAGAAGGAUUUGACUGUUGUGUUGGAGGAGUAGAUUUUGUAACAUUGAUAUGGGCCCAUAUUGAAAAGUUGGACGCAAAGGUAUUGACAGAAGAUGCACCUCUUCUUUUUCGGUCAGCUGUUUGUUUUGGUCUUCGAAGACCAAUUAUCGAGGCUUGAUCAAUUUGUUAUUUAUCAUCUGUCCUUUUUUGUCAAAACUAAUCUAAAUCAUUCUUUGAUCUAAUGGCUAAGUGGUUCCUUGGUUGAUUGAAAGAAGAAAGUUGUAUGCUCUUAUGAUGUAGAUCACAAGGUUUGUAUUAUUAGAAGUUAACUUAUGAUUCUAAGGGAAAUUGAGUAGUGCCUCCUUUGUAUUAUUAGAAGUUAACUUAAGGUUCUGAUGGGAAUUGAGGAGUGCCACCUUUGUAUAUUGGCAAUUUCAUCAUAGCUACUAAUUGGACCUCAAUUAUCAAAUGAAGUUUGCACCACCUGUGUAA